UCUCUCUCUCUCUCAGCUUUCAGUUUCAUCUCUCUUUUGUCUCAUGGACGAGGGCGCUGGCUACAGGGACUGAUGAGGAGGGGGUGUGAGCCAACGAGGGUGUCCUCUCACUGUCCAGAUCGAUGCCUCCCCAAGAGCACAAUCUUAAGAAAAAGGUGUUUUCUCCUUUUCUCUCUUGAACAGAACCGAGUUUGUGCCUGCCCUUUGAUAUUAGUAUUUGUGCUAAAAUUUAAGAACCCACUGCUUUGUAAAGUAGUACUCUGACAGAAAAUACAUAUUUGGCUACUUGGUUCUUCUGUGUUUUGGAGUAGUUCAGACCGUGGUUCUUCUGAUUGAGCAUCUUGGAUGAAAGCCAUCAAUACAUAUGGCGUUAAUGCAAUGGAAAUUAUGCCUAUUUUGCAGGUGUUCUGGUUUUGAGAGAAAUAUUAUGCCUCUUUACCGGGGGAUUACAAGAAAAAAAAGCAGCAACAAGGAUGCACAUAUGAUCUUUCAUGAGAACCAAAGUAGUGCAUGACUACACUGAAAAUAGUAGGGGAUUUCUCUUGUUUUUCCACAUAUUCGAUGUUUAUGGAAGAAUCCGAUGGAUUUGUUCACAGAUAUGGAAAUAUAACUCAUUUAUUCAUUUAUCAGCUCUGGAAAUAUAACUCAUUUAUUCAUUUAUAAGAAUGAAAACCUGUAGAUGCUAUACGUUUGGUGGAGAUGGAAAUGAAGCUGUUGGUAGUCAAGGCAUGGUACAGGAGUCGGUGAAUAGCAAAAUCAGAAAGUGGUUAAAAAAUUGUACAUGAUUUCGCGGUAAAAAAUAUUUACAAUUACAUGUGGCAUGCACCACUAGGAUAAUUUAACUUAUGUGAUAAUUAUUACUGCUGUAGCCGAGGGUGGUGAGAGAGGUGUAUAUAGGUGAUACCUACUGUUGUGCUUUGUGGAAGAUCAAUGACAAAGGUUCUCUGGGUCGCUGCUGUUGUGGUUUGUGAAAAUUUUCUUCUUGACAACCUAUAAUUCACUACUUACUAUGAUUUCUUGCAAUGGUUCAUUUCUUCUACACUCAGGUACUUAAGCUAUUAGCUUUAGUGAAAUUGGCCAUGCCAUUUUAUUUUUAUUGACAUAUCCAGGCGGUGUCGAAUGCUUCAGGUUUUAUAUAUUGUGACAUUGAACAACGGAAAUGGAAUUUUUUUUUUUGUGAGGAUCUGGUUGGAGCCUUUGUUGUCAAGUUUAUAAGCAGGUAAGAAACUAACCGAGGACAACAUACAAAUUAUAACUAUAGUUACAUGAAAAGAUGAGGAUGACUGCGUCAAAAUGUUAUAUAAAUUUCGUGAGUUCGUUGCAAUAAGCAGAGUACGAUACUAUAAAUGAAUCUAUUUAAAGAUGUUACAGAUUAGGUAGUUAUUUAUCUCACUUACUCUGCUUACUUCCAACUUGAUUUA